GCCUACACUUUGCUUCAAGGGUGACGUUAUUGUGAUUAAAUUUUAGAAAUGGGAAUAUGUUGCAAGGUUUUGAAGUUUCAUUAUUUCGUUAAUGGAUGAUUUAAGAUGCAGAAAUGACACAUUCCUCACGGUCUUGAUCCCUUGCAUACGGAACAGUAUUAUGAAGAUUCUGGGAAAAUGAUCACUCGCUCAAUCGGUGACGAUUUUUGUGUUCAUGUGUUUUAUAUUGAAUAUUCGUAUAAUGUUCUGAUCGGGGGCCUGAAAGUUUACAUUUCUAAUAUUUCAUUUG
rnacentral:lncRNA from 1 species